rnacentral:tRNA from 1 species
GGAGAGAUGGCUGAGUGGACUAAAGCGACAGAUUGCUAAUAUUUGUACCGAGGGUUCGAAUCCCUCUCUCUCCG